UGCAGUCGACGAUGAUGCCCAGCUUGCUGGGUUGAUUAGUGGCGAACGGGUGAGUAACACGUGAGUAACCUGCCCCUGACUCUGGGAUAAGCGUUGGAAACGACGUCUAAUACUGGAUAUGAUCGCCGGCCGCAUGGUCUGGUGGUGGAAAGAUUUUUUGGUUGGGGAUGGACUCGCGGCCUAUCAGCUUGUUGGUGAGGUAAUGGCUCACCAAGGCGACGACGGGUAGCCGGCCUGAGAGGGUGACCGGCCACACUGGGACUGAGACACGGCCCAGACUCCUACGGGAGGCAGCAGUGGGGAAUAUUGCACAAUGGGCGAAAGCCUGAUGCAGCAACGCCGCGUGAGGGAUGACGGCCUUCGGGUUGUAAACCUCUUUUAGUAGGGAAGAAGCGAAAGUGACGGUACCUGCAGAAAAAGCACCGGCUAACUACGUGCCAGCAGCCGCGGUAAUACGUAGGGUGCAAGCGUUGUCCGGAAUUAUUGGGCGUAAAGAGCUCGUAGGCGGUUUGUCGCGUCUGCUGUGAAAUCCCGAGGCUCAACCUCGGGCUUGCAGUGGGUACGGGCAGACUAGAGUGCGGUAGGGGAGAUUGGAAUUCCUGGUGUAGCGGUGGAAUGCGCAGAUAUCAGGAGGAACACCGAUGGCGAAGGCAGAUCUCUGGGCCGUAACUGACGCUGAGGAGCGAAAGCAUGGGGAGCGAACAGGAUUAGAUACCCUGGUAGUCCAUGCCGUAAACGUUGGGCGCUAGAUGUAGGGACCUUUCCACGGUUUCUGUGUCGUAGCUAACGCAUUAAGCGCCCGCCUGGGGAGUACGGGCCGCAAGGCUAAAACUCAAAAGGAAUUGACGGGGGGCCCG
rnacentral:rRNA from 1 species